rnacentral:rRNA from 1 species
AAUGAACGUUGGCGGCGUGGAUUAGGCAUGCGAGUCGUGCGAGAAUCGUAGCAAUACGAGGACAGCGGCGCAAGGGAGAGGAAUAAGUAGAAAUCUACCCUCGGAUCGGGGAUAGCGGCGGGAAACUGCCGGUAAUACCCGAUAACGUCUUUGGACCAAAGGUGUGAUUCCGUCUGAGGAUGAGUCUACUUCCUACUAGCUAGUUGGCGGGGUAAUGGCCCACCAAGGCAACGAUGGGUAGCAGGUGUGAGAGCAUGACCUGCCUCAUUGGGACUGAGACACUGCCCAGACACCUACGGGUGGCUGCAGUCGAGAAUCUUCGGCAAUGGACGAAAGUCUGACCGAGCGACGCCGCGUGCGGGAUGAAGGCCUUCGGGUUGUAAACCGCUGUCGGAGGGGAACAAGUGUACGGGGGUUCUCCCCUGUAUUUGAGUGAACCUAGGAGGAAGGAGAGGCUAAGCUCGUGCCAGCCGCCGCAGUAAGAC